CCAGUUUGACUUAACUGGAGAGGGGCUAGUGAGGAAUAAUGUGAAAUAAGCCUAGAAAGAGAGGCUGGAGCCAGGGUGUAAAGGGCUUUAAAUGCUAAGUAGAAGAGGGUUUAUUUGAUCCUAGAGGCAAUAGUGAGUCAUAGAAGCUUCUGGAGCAGGAAAAAUGACACGAUCAGCUCUGCGCUUUAGCUUGAUCAAUUCAUCAGCCAUAUGGAAGAAUAGAUUAGAUAGAGGAGAGAUUGGAAGUGAAGAGAUCCAGGGAGACCCUAUGGCAAUAGUAAAGGAGAAAAGUUGUAAGGGUUUGCACUAGAGGAAUUAUAGUGUGAAUGAAGAGAAGACAAAGGAUGUGAGAAGAAAAUUGGUUGAGAAGGAGCUCAUAGAGCCUCUCUCUUCUCAAUAAUUUAUGGGAUGAAGUUGGAUUGGACAGGUUGGAGAAGAAAGGGGGGAACUAUGAAAGGAUCAGGGAGAGAAGAGAAGUUUGAGAAGUUUAGAAGAGAUUGAGAAAAGAAGGCUAUAGAGAGACAGAGGCUCACGUAGAGAGGAGUACAGGGACUGUUCUGUUGUGUGAGGGGCCGGUCGAGGUUAGGGAACGUGAUGAGUAGUGGAUCCAGCUGCCUCAGGGAUAGGACUUUCUUAGCUCUGUUCAGCAGUUGGAGUUUAGUGGGAGAAGAGGGGAACGGUGGGGGUUUGGUGAGGUAUGAACAUUGACAGGACAAGGGAGCAAGGGAUUCGAAAGCAUCAGGCCGACCACCCGUGACCUCAAGAAUGGUAAGCCGGAAAAGAGAAGCCGGAAAAGGAGUGAUAGUAAGAGGGCCUGCAUCUGCUGGAGAAGAGGAAGAUAGAUUCAGGAGGAAUGAGGGACAAAGAGAGAGAGAUGCUAAGGGGAAAGAUGGUCUAACCCUGAGGGAUUUCAGAAUUCUCCAUCCUGAAAGUCAACCACUUGUGUAAUCACAGUCGUGGGAUCAGUGCUGUGUGACUUUGGACAAGUCACUUCACUUCCUUCGACAUCAGUUUCCUGGCUUCUCCUCCCUGUUGAAUGCUUUGCGGGAGAAGGAAACAGCUGGCCAGCUGCCGCUGGGAUAAAUCAAGGACGAUGCCGCAAUCCCCCCCCACACACACACUCAGAGUCUAGGCUCACUAAAUACUGGAGCCGGGAAGGACUCGAGAACAGAGGACGUCCAAGGACCGGGACCUAGAGCCCAGCCCGUCAGAGACGGGGACAUCAGGAGAUCCGGCGUGUGCCUCGGCGGCACAUCUACCAGACUAGGAUAUGAAAGGUCAGAGGCGGACGUGCAUCCCUUCGUUUUACAGUUGGGGAAACUGAGGCCCCAUGGGAUGGAAGGGCUUGUCCCCUCCGAGUAGUACGUUGCUGUGGGAAGGCUCCAAACCCCGCCCCUCGGCUCCCCGCUCCCCGCUCCCGCCGCCCAGCCCUCGGGCCGCUCCGCGACCUACCCACAGCCCCACGGCGAGGAGCACCGCGAAGUAGACGGCGAUGACGGAGAUGUCGGCGGCGUUCCUGAUGCGCUCGGACGGCAGCGGGGGCGCGGGGCCGGCCAUGGCAGAAGCGGCCGUCGGGGGCCGUCGGGGGCCGUCGGGGGCUCGCUGCCCGCUUCUUUGCGGCGCCCGGGCCGCCGCUCCGUCCGCCCGCCGCGUUAAUGAUCAGCCCCGGGCGGCCCAGGGGAGGGCGGAGAGGCGGAGGGCUCAGAGGAGGCCGGGCCGAGGAGGAAGAGGAGGCAGAAGCCGGAGCGGGAGAGGAAGG
rnacentral:lncRNA from 1 species